rnacentral:piRNA from 1 species
CUACGAUGGGAUCAAGCGGCUCU